rnacentral:lncRNA from 1 species
AGCCAAAGAAGUUUAUUGCUAAUUUAGAAGAACUGGAAAUAAUAUUUUUAAUUAGUAAGACUUUUAUGGUAGUUUUUAAAAAUUUUUUUGCACUGAGGACAUAUAGACGGUUAGACUAGUUAUUUAUUUGCAUGCUGAAUCCUAGUACAGAAAUAUAAUCCCACAUUUUAACAUUGCUCCUCUAUGGGAAAAUAAAGUCAACUUUAUGUAAUCCAGAAAUUGUCAGUGAUUAAAAACUUCAAAAUAAUUUUCCUGAGUUUUCAGUUUCAUGCCUAGGUAAAAAUGAAUUCCUUUAAAAUUGUGGAGUAAAACGUUUUUUCUCCCUCAAUGCCUUCACCGUCUACCUUUAACAAUGUUUUUAAUGUGUAGCUUAUUAGAAAUAAAAACCUUAGAUUAUACUGUAUCCGUUGACUUUUCCCCAGUAACGGAUUUCCUGUUUCAUCACUUUUCUCUUACUACUGCUUCUGUAUAUCUCAUUCAUACUAGUAUGGAUAUAAUAAAACCAAUUUCAAUACAGAAAGUAGAAUUUUAGAUAGUAUGCAGGUAACUUAACCUUCAGUUCUUGAGCCGAAAAUACAGAAAGACUGAAUCUGGAAAAUAUGGUAACCAACACAAAUUUGAAGCCUUAUUCUCUGUAGAUGCAAAAAUGUGCCAAAAAGCGUAGGAAAAUACAUACCAAGGCUCGAUAAGGAGUUAGAAAGCAAGAGGGAUUUAGAAUCUUAGUAUUCUGCUGUUAAUUUCCCUCCUGCCUUUGCUGUCCCAGUUACCUAAGUGGGGAGUGGAUAAUUUCCAUCUCAUACCGUUUCUUUUUCAUUCCUAUUAUCCCAGAUCAUGAAUCUGGUGUAUUGCUGCUUUACGUCUGUCCCUUUCCAAGUGAGGCUUUGAGAGCCUGAAGACUAUUUAGAGAGUGAAUCAUCUGAUAAAGAUAAUUUGAAAUGCAUACCUGCAAGUGAGCAGUAGGCUGGCCAACUAAUACUUCAAUCUACUUUGAAUCUGCUUUGCAAUGAAGAAAACUAAACACAGUGAUGUUACAGAAAGUGCAUUUAGGUGGAAAAGGACCUCCGAGGUGAAAUGUAGGUUAAGACCUAAAU